rnacentral:rRNA from 1 species
UACGAAGGGUGCAAGCGUUACUCGGAAUUACUGGGCGUAAAGCGUGCGUAGGUGGUUUGUUAAGUCUGAUGUGAAAGCCCUGGGCUCAACCUGGGAAUUGCAUUGGAUACUGGCAGGCUAGAGUGCGGUAGAGGGUGGCGGAAUUCCCGGUGUAGCAGUAGAAUGCGUAGAGAGUCGGAGGAACAUCUGUGGCGAAGGCGGCCAUCUGGACCAGCACUGACACUGAGGCACGAAAGCGUGGGGAGCAAACAGG